AUGUCCUUAAAGGAGAUAGAAGUAGGAGACAGCGGUAAUAAGAUCCUCACGUGUGAAAGUGAGUCUACCAUUAUGGUAGACCAUGUAGGGAGAGGGUAUGUGUCUAGCAGCUGGGGGGCCCCCAUCGAGGUGAUCCAGGGGAGGGGGAGAUACGGGAAAGGGAGGCAUAAUCUAAUUCGGCCUAGGGUGAGCAACAGAGUGCUUGUAGAUUUAAAACGGCCUCCUGACACAGUAAACUUGGGUGCCCAAGUUGGCGGGCCCUCCGAUCUGAAGGUGGUGCUGCUGAACGCCAGGUCUGUCAAUGGUAAAGCUGCAAUCAUCCAGGAUCUUAUCCUGGAUGAGCAGGCAGACCUGGCGUGCAUAACGGAGACCUGGUUGGAUGAGGCUGGGGGGGCCAAUCUCACCCAGCUUUGUCCACCAGGUUAUGCUGUGCAGCAUCAAACAAGAUCUGGAGGGAGGGGAGGAGGGGUUGCAGUGGUCUAUAAGGAGUCCAUCCCCCUGACCAGGUGCCCCAUCCCGCAGUCUACCUUGUUUGAGUGUGCUCAUCUGAGGGUAGGGGGCCGGGACAGUUUAGGGAUUCUGCUAGUGUACCGACCACCCCGCUGCACUACAGUCUCCCUGCCUGAGCUAGCAGGGAUGGUUUCUGGCCUGGCGCUGGAGUCCCAACGGCUCAUUGUGCUGGGGGACUUUAAUGUCCAUGCCGAGACCACUCCUUCUGGUGCAGCUCAGGACUUCAUGGCCACCAUGGCAACCAUGGGGCUGUCCCAACUAGUAUCUGGCCCUACCCACAGAGCAGGGCACACACUUGACUUGAUUUUCUGCCAGGGAGGGGAGGAAGGUGGCGGUGUGGAGGAGCUCACCAUCGCUCCUUUGCCAUGGACCGACCAUCACCUGAUCAGGUUUAGAAUCACUGCGCCCCCCAACCUCCGCAGGGGUGGAGGACCCAAAAUGGUCCGCCCUAGGAGGCUUAUGGAUCCGGAUGGAUUCCUGAUGGCUCUUGGGGAAUUUCCCGCGACCUUGGCUGGUGAUCCUGUCGAUGCUCUGGUCGCCCUCUGGAACAAGGAGGUGACUAGGGCAAUAGACACGAUCGCUCCGGAAUGUCCCCUCUCGAGUACCCGAGCUAAACGAUCUCCUUGGUUCACUGAGGAGCUGGCAGCGAUGAAGUGA
rnacentral:lncRNA from 1 species